rnacentral:rRNA from 1 species
CCUACGGGGGGCAGCAGUGGGGGAUCUUGCACAAUGGAGGGAACUCUGAUGCAGCGACGCCGCGUGAGGGAAGAAGGUCUUCGGAUUGUAAACCUCUGUCUUCGGUGACGAAACGAGACGGUAGCCGCGGAGGACGCCACGGCUAACGACGUGCCAGAAGCCGCGGGAAUACGUGGGUGGCCAGCGUUGUCCGGAAUUACGGGGUGUAAAGGGUGCGUAGUCGGGAAAGCAAGUUGAAGGGUUAAGGUACGGGCUCAACCUGUACAAACGUUCAAAACUGGUUUUCUUGAGUGGAGUAGAGGUAAGCGGAAUGCCUAGUGUAGCGGUGAAAUGCGUAAAUAUUAGGAGGAACACCAGUGGCGAAGGCGGCUUACUGGGCUUUAACUGACGCUGAGGCUCGAAAGCGUGGGGAGCAAACAGGAUUAGAUACCCCUGUAGUC